rnacentral:rRNA from 1 species
ACGAACGCUGGCGGCAGGCCUAACACAUGCAAGUCGAACGCCCCGCAAGGGGAGUGGCAGACGGGUGAGUAACGCGUGGGAACCUUCCCUGUGGUGCGGAAUAACUCGCCGAAAGGCGUGCUAAUACCGCAUAAGCCCGCAAGGGGAAAGAUUUAUCGCCAUAGGAUGGGCCCGCGUAGGAUUAGCUAGUUGGUGAGGUAAUGGCUCACCAAGGCGACGAUCCUUAGCUGGUUUGAGAGAAUGACCAGCCACACUGGGACUGAGACACGGCCCAGACUCCUACGGGAGGCAGCAGUGGGGAAUCUUGGACAAUGGGCGCAAGCCUGAUCCAGCCAUGCCGCGUGAGUGACGAAGGCCUUCGGGUUGUAAAGCUCUUUUGGCGGGGACGAUAAUGACGGUACCCGCAGAAUAAGCCCCGGCUAACUUCGUGCCAGCCGCCGCAGUAAU